GAUGAACGCUGGCGGCGCGCCUAAUACAUGCAAGUCGAGCGAACAGAUGAGGAGCUUGCUCCUCUGACGUUAGCGGCGGACGGGUGAGUAACACGUGGAUAACCUACCUAUAAGACUGGGAUAACUUCGGGAAACCGGAGCUAAUACCGGAUAAUAUAUUGAACCGCAUGGUUCAAUAGUGAAAGACGGUUUUGCUGUCACUUAUAGAUGGAUCCGCGCCGCAUUAGCUAGUUGGUAAGGUAACGGCUUACCAAGGCAACGAUGCGUAGCCGACCUGAGAGGGUGAUCGGCCACACUGGAACUGAGACACGGUCCAGACUCCUACGGGAGGCAGCAGUAGGGAAUCUUCCGCAAUGGGCGAAAGCCUGACGGAGCAACGCCGCAUGAGUGAUGAAGGUCUUCGGAUCGUAAAACUCUGUUAUUAGGGAAGAACAAAUGUGUAAGUAACUAUGCACGUCUUGACGGUACCUAAUCAGAAAGCCACGGCUAACUACGUG
rnacentral:rRNA from 1 species